rnacentral:tRNA from 1 species
CAAAUUAAAGUCUUAGAGACUCUAUUAUUUACAUUAAUAGAAUAGUUGUGCAAAUCAACUUAAUUUGA